AACGAACGCUGGCGGCAUGCCUAACACAUGCAAGUCGAACGAGACCUUCGGGUCUAGUGGCGCACGGGUGCGUAACGCGUGGGAACCUGCCCUUAGGUUCGGAAUACCUCCCCGAAAGGGGUGCUAAUACCGGAUAAUGUCUUCGGACCAAAGAUUUAUCGCCUUUGGAUGGGCCCGCGUUGGAUUAGCUGGUUGGUAGGGUAAAAGCCUACCAAGGCGACGAUCCAUAGCUGGUCUGAGAGGAUGAUCAGCCACACUGGGACUGAGACACGGCCCAGACUCCUACGGGAGGCAGCAGUGGGGAAUAUUGGAAAAUGGGCGAAAGGCUGAACCAGCAAUGCCGGGUGAGUGAUGAAGGCCUUAGGGUUGUAAAGCUCUUUUACCCGGGAUGAUAAUGACAGUACCGGGAGAAUAAGCUCCGGCUAACUCCGUG
rnacentral:rRNA from 1 species